AGGUGUGAGAUUUCCCCCAGAGAAGGGGCAGUGAUGCUGGCCCCCGACAUCUCCCUCAGGACAGCCUCGGUCUCGCGGGCCAGUGAGCCCUGAGUGCAGGGUUAUAGGGCUGUGAGGAGAGGUGGAUGGAGCCGGACUGGGUGGAGGAGAGACACAGCCCCCUUCUGGACUGAGGAAUGACAGGGCAGCGUUCCCAGCCCCACACCCUGGAGGGAGCAGCGGCUGUCCAAGGCUGGGGGCUAGGGAGAACGAGGAAGUGCAGACCAUGGCUCUUUGCUGAAGAAAGCCUGCUGCUCUGCUCAGUCUGGGGUAGACUUCCACUGUGAGCCAGACUGACCUGCAGUGCUGGACAGGGCCCAUCGUAAGACAGUGGCACCACGUUCCCAUCCGGGCCCCACCAGUGAGUCUCGGGCCAGCUGGGUAGGGAGGCAAUGCAAGGAUGUAGCAGACCGGUUUGAGGAGGGGCCUGGAGACCCGACCUCAAAAGCUGGGAGGCCUUUGCUCAGACGGUCCUUGCGGAGAUGUCCCUGUCAAGGGCUGGAGCCUCAGGGAGAUGGUAGCAGCUCCACCACCCAGCAAAGCAACCACUGCCUAGAGCCCUGGGCACAGGCCUCUGUGGAGAGAGGUUAAGGGUACUCUUAAGAGCUGACUGGAGAAGAAAAGAGCAUUCCCAGUAAAGAGUAGGAAGAGUGGUUGCUCAUCCUCCCAUUCCAUGAGGCAUCUGACCAGCAUGCGUGAACAAAACAAGACCUCUCCACAGCAGGUCAGCGUGCUCAGCGGCACCUCUCUCCAGGCGGUCGGAGCGAUGGGGACAUCUGUUCCUUGUGCUUGGUGAAGGCUCCCUGGACAGGCCGGGUCAGCGACCUGCAGAGCAGAGAUGGGGUUGGGCGCUUUGAGCUGUCUGUGUGGGGGGAGGAGGCGUCCCCAGGCUGUUUAUCAGGAGCCAGCCUUGGGCAUGUGGGCACCAACUGUCAAAGGGCAUGACAGGCUGGCAGCUUUGCAUGCAGAUUGCACCAGGCAAGAGGUACCCCUGGAUCUGGCCUUGCAACACACUCCACGGGCCGUGUUGGCUCAGGAGCACAAGGAGGGAGGCUGAUUGGCCUCGUGCAGCCUGGCCGCGAGCCCUGCUAUUGGGAGGGCCUGACUCCAGCUUGUGUGCUGAAGUCUGGCUGAAUGGGCUGCCAAGGAUCAGAGUUUAUGUAAACACACAGAGGCCAUGGUUCUUGCCCCACGCAGGAGCUCAUAUCUGAUCGUCCUCACUUCCCAGUUGCAAGGGAAUCAUGCUGGGGGGAGGCAGGGAUCGUGUGUGUUGCCCUUUGUGAGUGUCUUCACCACCAUAACCUAGAAACACGUCGGAUUUCAUCGGUUCCUGCAGUUGAAUCCCAUUGGCUUGGCUGAGAUGCUGAGAGGUACUCUGCUCCUUAGCACCCCUCCCUUCCUUGUUGAUGCUGCCUGUGGUCUCAUUUAGGAAGCUCACCCUGCCUGACCUGUCAACAGGGAAGGCGCGGGGCAUCUGUGCGUCCAAGGAAAGGCAGCUGACAGCUACAGUGUCAAUGUUUUAUAU
ensembl:lncRNA